rnacentral:rRNA from 1 species
GAGUUUGAUUAUGGCUCAGGAUGAACGCUGACAGAAUGCUUAACACAUGCAAGUCAACUUGAACGUGGGUUUUUAACUUAGGUUUGGGUGGCGGACGGGUGAGUAACGCGUAAAGAACUUGCCUCACAGACAGGGACAACAUUUAGAAAUGAAUGCUAAUACCUAAUAUUAUGAAAAUAGGGCAUCCUAUAAUUAUGAAAGCUAAAUGCGCUGUGAGAGAGCUUUGCGUCCCAUUAGCUAGUUGGAGAGGUAACGGCUCACCAAGGCGAUGAUGGGUAGCCGGCCUGAGAGGGUGAACGGCCACAAGGGGACUGAGACACGGCCCUUACUCCUACGGGAGGCAGCAGUGGGGAAUAUUGGACAAUGGACCAAGAGUCUGAUCCAGCAAUUCUGUGCGCACGAUGAAGUUUUUCGGAAUGUAAAGUGCUUUCAGUUGGGAAGAAAAGAAUGACGUACCA